rnacentral:rRNA from 1 species
GACGAACGCUGGCGGCGUGCUUAACACAUGCAAGUCGAACGGAAAGGCCCUGCUUUUGUGGGGUGCUCGAGUGGCGAACGGGUGAGUAACACGUGAGUAACCUGCCCUUGACUUUGGGAUAACUUCAGGAAACUGGGGCUAAUACCGGAUAGGAGCUCCUGCUGCAUGGUGGGGGUUGGAAAGUUUCGGCGGUUGGGGAUGGACUCGCGGCUUAUCAGCUUGUUGGUGGGGUAGUGGCUUACCAAGGCUUUGACGGGUAGCCGGCCUGAGAGGGUGACCGGCCACAUUGGGCCUGAGAUACGGCCCAGACUCCUACGGGAGGCAGCAGUGGGGAAUAUUGCACAAUGGGCGGAAGCCGGAUGCAGCAACGCCGCGUGCGGGAUGACGGCCUUCGGGUUGUAAACCGCUUUCGCCUGUGACGAAGCGUGAGUGACGGUAAUGGGUAAAGAAGCACCGGCUAACUACGUG